UCAUCCGAGGUCAUCAAGAUGGCAGCGUUUGACAACUAGCCGGUUUUCUCAUAAGAGUUAAUGCUAAUAUUUUCGGAAUUCAUUUAAAUUUGAGAGUGUGUCAACUGUGUUUUUAUAAUUUGGAAAAAAUGCCUAAAUUUUGUGCUGUUGUGGGUUGCGCGAAUCGAAGCACCAGAAAUGCGGACAAAUUUUAUUUUCCUUUCCCAAAAAUUAGCAACAAUAAAGGUAAAUAUAUACAGGAUGGGGAAAAAAGGCGGAAGCUUUGGUUAAAAGCCUUGAAAAGAGUGGAUUUAACGAAGCCAAAGUAAAGUAUUCCUAAUAUUUGUUCGGAUCAUUUUAUUUUAGGUAAACCUGCAGAUUUGUCGGAUGUGGACCAGCCUGAUUAUGUUCCAUCACAAAAUUUAGGAUAUCAAAAUAAAUCCACUCAUAAUACUUGUAAUAUUGAAAGACACAGUCAUUUAAAAAAGAGAAAACUGAAUAAAUGCCUCUAAACUUUUGAAUGCACGAAUUUCAUUGUGGGUUAUUUUACUUAUUCCAAAAAUAAAAAAGUUUAAAAUGGUAUUCAUUGUUAUGGUAGGGACAUCGUCUAAACACAAAUUAAAAUCACUUGUACUCAUUAUAUAAGGAUCCACGCCGUUUAAAAUGUUUAGAUUUUGUACAUAUCUGUUUUUCUCUUUGACGGAACGACA